rnacentral:rRNA from 1 species
GGACUACCGGGGUUUCUAAUCCUGUUUGCUCCCCACGCUUUCGUGCCUCAGUGUCAGUAUUAGGCCAGGUAGCCGCCUUCGCCACUGGUGUUCCUUCCGAUCUCUACGCAUUUCACCGCUACACCGGAAAUUCCACUACCCUCUCCCAUACUCCAGUCUAACAGUAUUAUCUGACAUCCCAAGGUUAAGCCCUGGACUUUCACACAUAACUUAUUAAACCACCUACGCACCCUUUACGCCCAGUAAUUCCGAUUAACGCUCGCACCCUCCGUAUUACCGCGGCUGCUGGCAC